UUAACCAUCUGAGCCACCCAGGCGCCCCUGCAAUUGGUUGAUGUUUCUUAAAUCUCUUAAUCUAUAGGUGCCCCCUCCUUCUCCCCCUCCUUUUAUUCUCCCAUGGGAUUUAUUUGUUGAAGAAACUGGGUGGUUCAUCCUGUAGUGCUUCCUAUAGAAUGGAUUUUAGUGAUUGCAUCCCUGUGGUGUUGUUCCCCUGUUCAUUUCCUGAAUAUUGAUUAGAUCUAAGGCUUGAUUAGAUUUAGAUUCUGGUUCUAUUUUUUUCCUCUUUUGGGGGGCUAGAAUAUGUCAUAGGUAGUGUUGUAUACUUUUAUAAGUAGGUAACAAGUCUCUUGCUCCUUUUAAGAUAUUUUCUUUGAUGUUCUGAAGUUUCACGGCAAUGUGUCUAGGUGGGGAUUUCUUUCUUUGUUUCUUUUUCAUGUUUGGGAUUCCUGAAUCUUGGAGAUUGGCAUCUUUCACCAAUUCUCAGCUAUUUUUUUCUUCAAAUACUGCUGUUCCACUGUUUUCUCUAUUCUUCACCUGAACUCCAGUUGGACAUCACCUUGUGGUAUGGCUGAUUUGAAGCCUUCAAAUGCUACAGCCCUUUUGCUACCAAGAAGGAAGUCAAAUCUAUGAUGAAGUUCACACUUUGGAAGACAGAUCUGACAGAAAGAAAUUAGGUCCUUGGUGAUAUUGUUGAUCCAUGGAAUCAAAUCAACUGCAGAGUUCUCUCAUCCCCUGGAAUUUGCAUUUGUAUGAACCCAUAAAUCCUCUUUAUUGUUUAAGCCUAUUGGAGUUGGGUUUUGUUACCAAUAAAAAGGCUUUAAAAGUU